rnacentral:rRNA from 1 species
UACAGAGGGUGCGAGCGUUAAUCGGAAUUACUGGGCGUAAAGCGCACGUAGGUGGCUUUGCAAGUCGAUUGUGAAAUCCCCGGGCUUAACCUGGGAACUGCAGUCGAGACUGCUUUGCUUGAGUAUGGGAGAGGGAGGUGGAAUUUCCGGUGUAGCGGUGAAAUGCGUAGAUAUCGGGAGGAACACCGGUGGCGAAGGCGGCCUCUGGACGGAU